UCAGAAAAAUGCUGAACGUGAAUGCUUCACCAAAAACUCACUCUUCCAUAUUUAUCAGCAACUUAAUGGGAUAUGGGAGCAGGAGCCCCUCUUGAAUAACAUCUACCAGAAGAAAUCACCCUCCACCUUACCAGCCUGGUUAAGGGCUGACGUCGAUUGUUACCACCAAUUUUGAAGUUUUGGGCUGUAGCUGUUUGUGGUGUAUUGGCUGCUUUUCGGUGAGGACGGGAUGAUCAAGACUUGGAUUUGGAAUCCUGGAUGUGUUCCUCACUAUAAUCUCCGGUCAACAUUUGGUCUUGCGGAUGCAUGUGUGCCAUUCUUUCCCGCCAGAAGCCGUUCUUGUUGGGUGGACAGCCGGAAGUGGUUGAUUCCUGCAAAAUCUUUAACAUUAUUUUUUACGUUCUUCGGAUCUCGAGUCGGCCGCCGAUUUCAAUCUACAACGCAGUUUCUUUGAUGGAAUUGUGUGGUCCCUGCACGGGGACAGAAAAGUCAUGGACGUUUUGCAUCAUCGAUAUCUUCGUGACGCACGCUCAUCUAGCUUCACUGCUUCUCAUGCUGCUACUCAACUCGUCUUAGCACUGACGAGUUAGACCACUCCUGUGAUCGUUUCCGUCCGCUGUUACACACCUGCAGUCACUCACCACGGGAUUACCAACACCACGAGGUAAUGCAGAGAUGUUGCCUAGAUGAACAUUGAACACCAAAAGAUUGACGGCAGCCCUAAAAUGUCAGCUUGGAUCAUCGUAUUGUUGGUAUUGUUGCGUUUGUUUUGUGUUAGUUAACCCGUUGUCUGCCACGCCUUUGUUCUCCCCUAGCUCCUUAGCAUUGGCCGCGCCGAAAGGCCCUGUUAGGCAAUGCACCAUAGGGAC